rnacentral:rRNA from 1 species
CCGCGUGUGUGAUGAAGGUCUUCGGAUUGUAAAGCACUUUCGACCGGGACGAAAACCCAUUGGCUAACAUCCAAUGGCUUGACGGUACCGGGAGAAGAAGCACCGGCUAACUCUGUGCCAGCAGCCGCGGUAAUACAGAGGGUGCAAGCGUUGUUCGGAAUUAUUGGGCGUAAAGCGCGUGUAGGCGGCUUUGCAAGUCGGGUGUGAAAGCCCUCAGUUCAACUGAGGAAGUGCGCCCGAAACUGCAGAGCUUGAGUGCCGGAGAGGGUGGCGGAAUUCCCCAAGUAGAGGUGAAAUUCGUAGAUAUGGGGAGGAACACCGGUGGCGAAGGCGACCAUCUGGACGGAUACUGACGCUGAGACGCGAAAGCGUGGGUGGCAAACAGGAUUAGAUACCCUGGUAGUCCACGCCGCAAACGAUGAGAACUAGGUGUUGUGGGAGUUGACCCCCGCGGUGCCGUAGCUAACGCAUUAAGUUCUCCGCCUGGGAAGUACGGCCGCAAGGCUAAAACUCAAAGGAAUUGACGGGGGCCCGCACAAGCGGUGGAGCAUGUGGUUUAAUUCGACGCAACGUGCAGAACCUUACCUGGUCUUGACAUCCUAGGAGCCUGCCAGAGAUGGCGGGGUGCCCGCAAGGGAGCCUAGAGACAGGUGCUGCAUGGCUGUCGUCAGCUCGUGUCGUGAGAUGUUGGGUUAAGUCCCGCAACGAGCGCAACCCUCGCCUUUAGUUGCCACGCAAGUGGAUCUCUAGAGGGACUGCCGGUGUUAAACCGGAGGAAGGUGGGGAUGACGUCAAGUCCUCAUGGCCUUUAUGACCAGGGCUACACACGUGCUACAAUGGCCGGUACAAAGCGCUGCCAACUCGCGAGAGGGAGCCAAUCGCAUAAAACCGGUCUCAGUUCAGAUUGGAGUCUGCAACUCGACUCCAUGAAGGCGGAAUCGCUAGUAAUCGCAGAUCAGCACGCUGCGGUGAAUACGUUCCCGGGCCUUGUACACACCGCCCGUCACACCAUGGGAGUCAGUUGCUCCAGAAGUCGCCGCGCCAACCGCAAGGAGGCAGGCGCCCAAGGAGUGACUGGCAACUGGGGUGGAGUCGUAACAAGGUAGCCGUAGGGGAACCUGCGGCUGGAUCACCUCCUUUCU